rnacentral:lncRNA from 1 species
CCCUCCUCUGCUGUUUUAUUGACUGGGGAAGAGGAUUUGGAUCCAGCCCAGCAGAAGGGCUGGCUGCCGUGGUGGGAUUGCUGCUCCUUGGACCGUGGUGGGCUGCGUGAGGAGCAGGUGUGGAUGGGUCUCAGUUACGGUGCUACGAGGGGCUGCGCUGCCCCCGGGGGAGCUGGAGCCAUCCCAGGAGGAAGAGGAUGGACGUCCUGCCACGGGUGUGCGCCAGGCUGCUCCUCCUGUCCCUGCUCUGUGCCACCAGCCUCUGCCAAAGGAGCAAAAAUAACCGCUGCGUGCUGUCCCGGGCAAAGAGCUGCACCGAGUGCAUCCGAGUAGACAAGGACUGCUCCUUCUGCACCGAUGAGGUGAGAACCUUGCAGGGGAGACCAGUGCUCUACUUCCCACCCUGAUGAUGGAGGGAUCAUAAAAUGGUUAGAGUUGGAAGGGACCUUAUAGAUCAUCUAGUUC